rnacentral:tRNA from 1 species
GGAGGGGUGCCCGAGUGGUUUAAGGGAGCGGCCUUGAAAUCCGUCGUGUGUUUCGACGCACCGUGGGUUCGAAUCCCACCCCCUCCGCCA